rnacentral:rRNA from 1 species
AUUGAACGCUGGCGGCAUGCUUUACACAUGCAAGUCGAACGGUAACAGGCCUUCGGGCGCUGACGAGUGGCGAACGGGUGAGUAAUGCAUCGGAACGUGCCCAGUCGUGGGGGAUAACGCAGCGAAAGCUGUGCUAAUACCGCAUACGAUCUAUGGAUGAAAGCGGGGGACCGUAAGGCCUCGCGCGAUUGGAGCGGCCGAUGUCAGAUUAGGUAGUUGGUGGGGUAAAGGCCCACCAAGCCAACGAUCUGUAGCUGGUCUGAGAGGACGACCAGCCACACUGGGACUGAGACACGGCCCAGACUCCUACGGGAGGCAGCAGUGGGGAAUUUUGGACAAUGGGCGCAAGCCUGAUCCAGCAAUGCCGCGUGCAGGAAGAAGGCCUUCGGGUUGUAAACUGCUUUUGUACGGAACGAAACGGUCUGGGUUAAUACCCUGGGCUAAUGACGGUACCGUAAGAAUAAGCACCGGCUAACUACGUG